AGGCUUUUUACCUGGUUUCCUCCUGGGAGGUGCUGAUCAUUUUCAUGGGUGAAGAGAAAGAAAAAAAACGAAGCAAGCCAGCAAGAAAGCGAGCGUGCCAACAUUUAUUUUUUCCUGACAGAGGAGGCUGCCAGCACUUCUAUACAGGAGUACAGGACAGACAAAAAAAUGGAACUGCAAAACCAUGAGGCUGAAAGCCAAUUGCAUAAGCUGACAGAAAAGAAGUCUCUAUCUUCUCGUAGACCAGGUCCAACGAGGUGUCAGAUAACCACAAAUCCUCAAGGCAAUUAAGAAUGACCACAACAAAUCCUCAUUCCUUCAGGAAGGAAUGGAAAAUUCAUCUCUUUGCCACAGCUUUCCUUUUUUUUCCAAAGAGCAAGAGGAAAAAUCUGGACAUGUAACUGUUUGUGGGCCAGCGGUACGUGUUCUUGGUGUGCUCUGAAACAAUAUCAAUCCAUAGGAAAUGUGACAGAUCGAUCCAGCUGUUUUUUCUGCAGUUUGAAAUGUUUUGUAUGACAGGAGAGCAUGGGAAUUUGAGGCUUCCUGAGAGGCAAACCUCUCUGCUGGUAUAAAUUUCUGUAGCUUAUCCAGCUAAGUGGUUGGACCUAUGGAUCAUCAGUAACCCCAGUGUCACAGCCUGUCUUUGCUAAUUUUGGGUGUUGCCCUUGUUCAUCUUUAUGUCAUGCCAUGUCAGGGUUUUUAGAAUUACACAUACUGAUGGGUUUGUUGUUCUAAAGGGUGGUGGUAUUACAGGCACAAGUUCUGCUGAAGCAACCUCCUUUCCGAGCUGCACAAGAUGUCAAAUGGAAAGUCACCUAAGAAUUAGCAUGGAAAAAAGAAAACCCACAGAACAAGUGCCUAUCCACAUCCCUGGGAAGUGGCAACAGAUACCUGUCAGUAAUACCAGAAGCCCAGCUGUCUCCAAAGGUCUAAGAAACGCCCAUUGA
rnacentral:lncRNA from 1 species